rnacentral:tRNA from 1 species
GGAGAGGUGUGUGAGCGGUUGAAACAGCAGGUCUCGAAAACCUGUAGCCCGCAAGGGCUCGAGAGUUCGAAUCUCUCCCUCUCCG